GGGCCAUUCCUGAGGCAAAAGGAGGUUCCCAGGCUAGGGGUUCAAUUGGAGCUGUAGCCACCGGCCUACACCACAGCCACAGCAACAUGGGAUCUGAGCUGCGUCUGCGAUCUACACCACACAGCUCACAGCAAUGCUGGAUCGUUAACCCACUGAGUGAGGCCAGGGAUCGAACCCGCGUCCUCAUGGUACUAGUCGAUUAAUCGACCGCAGAGCCACGACGGGAACUCCUAGAAUUCUUAAUAAAGCCUCCCAGUGGUUUUUGAUGCGGCUGGUCUGCCAGGUGAACAUGCUGGUGAGCUAAUCCAAAUUAGGCCCCUUCACCCCUGGGAACACACCGGAGCCUGCACUGCCUCAGGUGGAAGUUAACAAGACAACACGUACUGGACCAGCAAACCAGUCUCCCACCUACAAAUGUGCCCAAUGCAAUGCAGGACAUCACCUUUUUAAACACCUGCUGCUGGCUGGCACCAACGGGCUGUAUCUGUCAUUUUUAUAAACAGCGUUAAGGAUACAGACAUGGUUAAUUCUGGUGAUAAAGUGACCUGACAGAGCCUGCAUAUCAGCUACCGCCUAUGACACCAAUGCACAGAGGUGCAUCAAAAGGGCUGGCUCCUCCGUGAAGACUCUCGCCAAACUCACUCGUAAAAUUCAUUCGAAGGAGCCUAAAUGUGAAUGCAGAAGGUAGGAGGAUUAAACACCUCUAAGCUGAAAGUUUCGAGAAACUUCUGGACGGAUUUCGUAAAUUAAAGAGGAGAGUUUGAUCCAGGUUCCUCAGCCUGAGCAGCACGUACCAAGACUGGACUCCAGGCACUUUGUUACUGAUCCCACCACGUGUGAGCGCUUGGUACCAAAACCUUAUCCCAAACAUAAAGGCCAAAGGCAUCGGGUGAAGAGAGCGAACUGUUCUUUCUCAGACCACACCUUUGCUGAGGAAGCCAUCGCACCAUCACCCAAACUUCCUUUUUCCUUCUCCACACAUAAAAUGCAGUUAACUCGCGUGUGUUUGGGGAACUUAAAAGCAAAAGCCAGUAUCUGUACGUGUGGGUGACACUGAACACUGCCCUCUGCGGGGUGCACCUGCUGACAAUGGAGGCAGGGGGUGUCCUGGGGUUCAAGGCCCACCACCUAUUUACAGAUCGUAUUAACAGGACCCCUAUCUGGCUUCCUCGCCUGCAGACAAUUAACACAAGGAUACCUGAAGGCUGCCAGGGAAUACAAUCUCCGUAAAUAAUAGAUGAGAAGGGAGACAGGUGUACAUCCUUCUCCAGAAAUGCUUAAGUCACACCUCAGGCUCUGGUUCCCUGUGCGCCUGAACUCUGAGGGUGUCCCUUUGCCACAACAAACAGGGAGGGGAGUGGGAUGGACUGGGAGUUUGGGGUUAAUACAUGCAAACCGUUUCUUUUACAAGGGAUAGACAAUGAGGUCCUACCGUAUAGAGCACAGGGAACUAUAUCCAAUCUCCUGGAAUAGAUCAUGAUGGAAAAGAGUGAAAAAAGGUCUAUAUAUGUAUGACUGAGUCACUCUGCUGUUCAGUGGAAAUUGGCACAACACUGUAAAUCAACAAUACUUUAAUUAAAAAUAGUUAAAAAUUAAAUAAAUAAAAGGAAGUAGUGGAUAUGUUAGACCUCAGACAGCGAACGCCUGCGCAACAGAGCCACACUUUCCUGCAUCCAAGACGGACGCCGGGCACUCAGCCCAGCCUCUAUCCCUGAGCAUGACCCUGCCUGGGAAGACGCUCACAGCACCCCGACAGCUGUGCCCCUUGCACAGCUGGAAACCUACUUGCCAACCCCGGCUUGGAAAGACCUCUUCGAAAACAGAAAAAAGAACAAGGAAGUUGACACCUGGGAGCAAGGUUGAAUUCUCUGGACCAGGCAGUUUAUCUGGAUCUGCUCCUUCCCUAUGGUUGGUGGGGGAGGCACUCGCCAUGCCAGGCCUGGCUGAGACCGAUCAGCACCAUCUCUGGGAGCACAUGAACUGGACCGGGACCAGGAGGGAGCAGGACCUGUGUUUACCUCCAGCGUGUUUUGAAUUCCUUCAAACUAGCUGGUGCCUCCUGUCCACACCUGGGCAGAUGGGUACGAAUAAGUCACGUCUCCCUGCUUUUUCAUUAAAGGGGAUGAACCGGGGCACAGACUCAGAACCAGAGAUGGAGCCAGACGGCUGGACUUGUUUCUGGGCUCUCCUCUUUCUAGCCAUGACCUUGGGCAAAUCCCUUCACCUCUGUGCUGCAGCUUCCCCAUGUGUAAGACAGGAGAACACGCAAGUGUUUAUUUCGUAGGGUUGUUAAAAUGAUCAAAUGGAGCAAUAUGUGUAAGGACCUGAAAAUAGUGGCUAGCAAACUCUUUCAAGCAUUGGUGACCAUUCUUACAUUUUUUAUUAUUUCAAUGGGCUGGGAUCCUUUGGUUAAGUUUUCAUGGUUUCACAGAGCUAAGAAAUGUUUCCUUCUGAACCCAGCUUUUUUUUUUUUUUGUCUUUUUGCCUUUUCUAGGGCCUCUCCCACAGCAUGUGGAAGUUCCCAGGCUAGGGGUCGAAUCGGAGCUGUAGCCGCCAGCCUAUGCCAGAGCCACAGCAACCAGGGAUCCGAGUCGCGUCUGCAACCUACACCACAGCUCACGGCAACACCUGAUCCUUAACCCACUGAGCAAGGCCAGGGAUCGAACCCGCAACCUCAUGGUUCUUGGUCGGAUUUGUUAACCACUGAGCCACGGCGGUAACUCCUGAACUCCGCUUUUUAAAAUGUACAUCUUGACUUUGAAAUCCAGAACCAAGAGAAAAAGUUGUACGGAGGGAUGACAGAAUGAGAACAAUCACCUUUCUUCCUCGCUGUGAUUUGAAAAGGGCUUUCCUAUUUCAUUCUCUUUAUGUAAUGGGAGGAAGGGAGCAGUAUGGUCAGUGUCUUGAGACACAGCGUGGGGCCCUAGGGCCACUGGAAGCAGAGCCAGUUGUUACGGCCACUCGAGUGCCUCUCCAGGUGGAGGCAGAGGGAAGGUUCUGGCCACUGCAACCUGUGAGGCCCUGGAAUCUGGAACGUGGCAAGUCAGCUCUGAGCACCAGCCACAACUGUGACAAACUAGAUUCAGGAGGGCACUUCCCAGUAAUACCAGCAGCAAUGACUAGGGCACAGCAGGCACACCUGUGGGCCCCACAGGCCCUUCCGCUGUCUUCACAGCCAUCCUUCCUGUUAGAUAAGAGUGUUUAUGGCCUUUUACAGAGAGGAAAGUAGGGGCUCAGAGAGGUUAAGUUUACUUGCCCAAGGUGACAGCGCUAACAAGCAGCAGAGCAGGAUUCCAGUAUUUUAUUCAUUCAACAAAUAUUUACCAAGCAGCUAUGUGCCAGGCACUGUGGGAGAUGCUGGACAUGCAGCAGUGGACAAAGCAAAGGUCCUGCCAGGGGGAGCUUUCAUUCUAGGGUGGGGAAUAUUUAGUAAACAAAUCUAACAAAUGGAGACCAGAAUGUCUAGACGAGUGAAGCGCCUUCAAGAACUCCAGAGUUGAGGGCAGGGAGGGAGCCAGGGGCAGUACUUUGGAUGGGACGAUAUGCUUAU
rnacentral:lncRNA from 1 species